GCCGAACAGUGGCACGACUGAAAUGAUGUCCCUGUGUUCUGUUUAAUCAUGUCACAUGACCUGGCUUUGUAACCUUUUUAUUUAAAGCUUUUUCAUCAAACUGUCUCCUUUUAUGUCAGGUGGUCCAGCACCAUCUUCUGGCACCAUGCUCCGGCACCUUCCCCCGGCACCAUCCCCCAGCACCAUCCCUCCAGUACCAUCCCUCCAGUACCAUCCCCCAGUACCAUCCCUCCUGUACCAUCCCUCCAGUACCAUCCCCCAGUACCAUCCCCCAGUACCAUCCCUCCAGUACCAUCCCCCAGUACCAUCCCCCAGUACCAUCCCUCCAGUACCAUCCCUCCAGUACCAUCCCUCCAGUACCAUCCUCCAGUACCACCCCUCCAGUACCAUCCCUCCAGUACCAUCUUCCAGUACCAUCCCUCCAGUACCAUCCCUCCAGCACCAUACCCCAGUACCAUCCUCCAGUACCAUCCCUCCAGUACCAUCCUCCAGUACCAUCCCUCCAGUACCAUCCUCCAGUACCAUCCCUCCAGUACCAUCCUCCAGUACCAUCCCCGGUACCAUCCCCGGUACCAUCCCUCCAGUACCAUCCCUCCAGUACCAUCCCCGGUACCAUCCCCCAGUACCAUCCUCCAGUACCAUCCCCGGUACCAUCCUCCAGUACCAUCCUCCAGUACCAUCCCUCCAGUACCAUCCUCCAGUACCAUCCCCGGUACCAACCCCGGUACCAUCCUCCAGUACCAUCCUCCAGUACCAUCCCUCCAGUACCAUCCUCCAGUACCAUCCCCGGUACCAACCCCGGUACCAUCCUCCAGUAUCAACCCCGGUACCAUCCUCCAGUACCACCCCUCCAGUACCAUCCCUCCAGUACCAUCCCUCCAGUACCAUCCUCCAGUACCAUCCCCCCAGUACCAUCCUCCAGUACCAUCCCCCCAGUACCAUCCCCGGUACCAUCCUCCAGUACCACCCCUCCAGUACCAUCCCUCCAGUACCAUCCCUCCAGUACCAUCCCCCAGUACCAUCCCCCAGUACCAUCCCUCCAGUACCAUCCCUCCAGUACCAUCCCUCCAGUACCAUCCUCCAGUACCAUCCUCCAGUACCAUCCCUCCAGUACCAUCCCCCAGUACCAUCCCCGGUACCAUCCUCCAUACCAUCCCUCCAGUACCAUCCCCCAGUACCAUCCCCCCAGUACCAUCCCCCGGUACCAUCCUCCAGUACCAUCCCUCCAGUACCAUCCCCCAGUACCAUCCCCGGUACCAUCCUCCAGUACCAUCCCCCAGUACCAUCCCCCCAGUACCAUCCCCCGGUACCAUCCUCCAGUACCAUCCCCCCAGUACCAUCCUCCGGUACCAUCCUCCAGUACCAUACCCCAGUACCAUCCUCCAGUACCAUCCCUCCAGUACCAUCCUCCAGUACCAUCCCCCCAGUACCAUCCUCCAGUACCAUCCUCCAGUACCAUCCCUCCAGUACCAUCCCUCCA
rnacentral:lncRNA from 1 species